AACGUAGGGGGCGAGCGUUGUCCGGAAUUACUGGGCGUAAAGGGCGUGUAGGCGGCCCAAGAAGUCAGGAGUGAAAACCCGCGGCUCAACUGCGGGACUGCUACUGAAACCAAUGGGCUUGAGUACAGGAGAGGAAAGCGGAAUUCCCAGUGUAGCGGUGAAAUGCGUAGAUAUUGGGAGGAACACCAGUGGCGAAAGCGGCUUUCUGGCCUGGAACUGACGCUGAGGCGCGAAAGCGUGGGGAGCAAAC
rnacentral:rRNA from 1 species